GUAUGCUGGAGGUAUCAGAAGUGCGAAUGCUGACAUAAGUAACGAUAAAGCGGGUGAAAAGCCCGCUCGCCGGAAGACCAAGGGUUCCUGUCCAACGUUAAUCGGGGCAGGGUGAGUCGACCCCUAAGGCGAGGCCGAAAGGCGUAGUCGAUGGGAAACAGGUUAAUAUUCCUGUACUUGGUGUUACUGCGAAGGGGGGACGGAGAAGGCUAUGUUGGCCGGGCGACGGUUGUCCCGGUUUAAGCGUGUAGGCUGGUUUUCCAGGCAAAUCCGGAAAACUAAGGCUGAGGCGUGAUGACGAGGCACUACGGUGCUGAAGCAACAAAUGCCCUGCUUCCAGGAAAAGCCUCUAAGCAUCAGGUAACAUCAAAUCGUACCCCAAACCGACACAGGUGGUCAGGUAGAGAAUACCAAGGCGCUUGAGAGAACUCGGGUGAAGGAACUAGGCAAAAUGGUGCCGUAACUUCGGGAGAAGGCACGCUGAUAUGUAGGUGAAGUCCCUCGCGGAUGGAGCUGAAAUCAGUCGAAGAUACCAGCUGGCUGCAACUGUUUAUUAAAAACACAGCACUGUGCAAACACGAAAGUGGACGUAUACGGUGUGACGCCUGCCCGGUGCCGGAAGGUUAAUUGAUGGGGUCAGCGCAAGCGAAGCUCUUGAUCGAAGCCCCGGUAAACGGCGGCCGUAACUAUAACGGUCCUAAGGUAGCGAAAUUCCUUGUCGGGUAAGUUCCGACCUGCACGAAUGGCGUAAUGAUGGCCAGGCUGUCUCCACCCGAGACUCAGUGAAAUUGAACUCGCUGUGAAGAUGCAGUGUACCCGCGGCAAGACGGAAAGACCCCGUGAACCUUUACUAUAGCUUGACACUGAACAUUGAGCCUUGAUGUGUAGGAUAGGUGGGAGGCUUUGAAGUGUGGACGCCAGUCUGCAUGGAGCCGACCUUGAAAUACCACCCUUUAAUGUUUGAUGUUCUAACGUUGACCCGUAAUCCGGGUUGCGGACAGUGUCUGGUGGGUAGUUUGACUGGGGCGGUCUCCUCCUAAAGAGUAACGGAGGAGCACGAAGGUUGGCUAAUCCUGGUCGGACAUCAGGAGGUUAGUGCAAUGGCAUAAGCCAGCUUGACUGCGAGCGUGACGGCGCGAGCAGGUGCGAAAGCAGGUCAUAGUGAUCCGGUGGUUCUGAAUGGAAGGGCCAUCGCUCAACGGAUAAAAGGUACUCCGGGGAUAACAGGCUGAUACCGCCCAAGAGUUCAUAUCGACGGCGGUGUUUGGCACCUCGAUGUCGGCUCAUCACAUCCUGGGGCUGAAGUAGGUCCCAAGGGUAUGGCUGUUCGCCAUUUAAAGUGGUACGCGAGCUGGGUUUAGAACGUCGUGAGACAGUUCGGUCCCUAUCUGCCGUGGGCGCUGGAGAACUGAGGGGGGCUGCUCCUAGUACGAGAGGACCGGAGUGGACGCAUCACUGGUGUUCGGGUUGUCAUGCCAAUGGCACUGCCCGGUAGCUAAAUGCGGAAGAGAUAAGUGCUGAAAGCAUCUAAGCACGAAACUUGCCCCGAGAUGAGUUCUCCCUGACUCCUUGAGAGUCCUGAAGGAACGUUGAAGACGACGACGUUGAUAGGCCGGGUGUGUAAGCGCAGCGAUGCGUUGAGCUAACCGGUACUAAUGAACCGUGAGGCUUAACCUUACAACGCCGAAGGUGUUU
rnacentral:rRNA from 1 species